CAAAGCCACAAAGCACAUGAUUUGGAGUCAUUUGGCGUUUUUGAUGUGUUGUUAAAGACUUUCAUUUCAGGAAACUCUGUUUGAACCACAAAGUGUAUGAACUUACACUCUACAACAAGGCCUUGCCCCUUGUCGUCUUCAGUGGGAAAACGUUGGUGUCGUCUGAAAUAAAAAUGGAAAAAAUGUUCUUGUGCUUGGAGACUUUCUGUCUGUUGUCUGAUGGUGGUCUAUAAUUGCAAUUGAAUAUAACGUCAACUGGAAAAGUGGAUGCCAGUCCCUGUUUGUUCGGUCUAUAAUUCGACAAACCAAGGAUAAGACAUCUCAUGUGUCACCCAUAAGCCGAUGGAUGAAAAAGUGUUUUAAAGGUGUAGUUGAGAGUCAAAUGACUCAUGCAACUCAAUCCAAUAACCUCCUAAGAAAGAAGACGCUGUUCGGUCUUGUAAUUUGCAUUAUGUGGCUUCCACAGAUUGAGUCUACGAAGAAUUUGUAAUCUCCAUCAACUGAAUAGCC